AAGUGUGAAGCAAAUCUGCAAUCAGUUUCGACCUGAUCCUAGAUAGUAAAAUCUAUCCUCACUAU
rnacentral:tRNA from 1 species